GAUGAACGCUGGCGGCGUGCCUAAUACAUGCAAGUCGAGCGAACGGACGAGAAGCUUGCUUCUCUGAUGUUAGCGGCGGACGGGUGAGUAACACGUGGAUAACCUACCUAUAAGACUGGGAUAACUUCGGGAAACCGGAGCUAAUACCGGAUAAUAUUUUGAACCGCAUGGUUCAAAAGUGAAAGACGGUCUUGCUGUCACUUAUAGAUGGAUCCGCGCUGCAUUAGCUAGUUGGUAAGGUAACGGCUUACCAAGGCAACGAUGCAUAGCCGACCUGAGAGGGUGAUCGGCCACACUGGAACUGAGACACGGUCCAGACUCCUACGGGAGGCAGCAGUAGGAAAUCUUCCGCAAUGGGCGAAAGCCUGACGGAGCAACGCCGCGUGAGUGAUGAAGGUCUUCGGAUCGUAAAACUCUGUUAUUAGGGAAGAACAUAUGUGUAAGUAACUGUGCGCAUCUUGACGGUACCUAAUCAGAAAGCCACGGCUAACUACGUG
rnacentral:rRNA from 1 species